rnacentral:rRNA from 1 species
GACGGAGGAUGCAAGUGUUAUCCGGAAUCACUGGGCGUAAAGCGUCUGUAGGUGGUCAAAUAAGUCAACUGUUAAAUCUUGAGGCUCAACCUCAAAAAUCGCAGUCGAAACUAUUCGACUAGAGUAUAGUAGGGUAAAGGGAAUUUCCAGUGGAGCGGUGGAAAAUGCGUAGAGAUCGGAAAAGAACACCAACGGCGAAAAGCACUCUGCUGGGGCCGACACUGACACUGAGAGACGAAAAGCUAGGGGGAGCGAAAUGGGG